rnacentral:rRNA from 1 species
UGGGGGAUAUUGCACAAUGGGGGGAACCCGUGAUGCAGCGACGCCGCGUGAGUGAAGAAGUAAUUCGUUAUGUAAAGCUCUAUCAGCAGGGAAGAAGAAAUGACGGUACCUGAGUAAGAAGCCCCGGCUAACUACGUGCCG